UACAGAGGUGGCAAGCGUUGUUCGGAAUUACUGGGCGUAAAGGGCGCGUAGGCGGCCUUCUAAGUCAGACGUGAAAUCCCCAGGCUUAACUUGGGAACUGCGUCUGAUACUGGGAGGCUUGAGUGUGGCAGAGGGGGGUGGAAUUCCACGUGUAGCAGUGAAAUGCGUAGAGAUGUGGAGGAACACCGAUGGCGAAGGCAGCCCCCUGGGCUAACACUGACGCUCAUGCACGAAAGCGUGGGGAGCAAACAGG
rnacentral:rRNA from 1 species